AGGAGGAACAGCUGCUGUCUGUUGAGGGAAUGAGAGGGGCACAGGUGCUCCCUAUAGAGACUCAUUUGGUCCCACAGGCCAUAUUAGUAGGCUGGUCUCUACACUUGUGUUUGCAGAGCUGUAACUGGAGGCACUGGAGGUCUGAAAUGAAGAAGGUGAAGAGAGGUGGGCUUGGUGCGCUGGGCUUCUCCCCAUUAAGAAGAAUUGCAGACAACUGAAUAUGGAAAAGAAUACAAAAGCAGAGCCUGUCAGUCACCCCUGGGUGGUUGUCAGCAUCUGGAAGGAUGGAUGCAGAAGUUAAGAGCAGCCAUCUUCAUCCAGUCACCUGUGUGCCUCAGUCAGAGGUCAAAGCUGUUGAACACAAUGGCAAAGCAGCAUAGGAGAAACACCCUUUGUCCUCUGUCAUCGCUGUCAAAAACAGAGGAGGGGAAGAAGUCCCGCACACCACAUUUCAGCAAAGCCCUGAAGACAGUGUUCUGCACAGAGUCCCAGCCUCCAAUUGGCAGUCCCAGCUCUUUGGCAGAUGAUUUUAUCCAGGGUCAGACCCACAGCUCUUGAAAACUCACAACCUGAGGGAGUUCUGGAACUCCUCACCUCAUGGGUACACCACAGCGCUGAUCCAAGAGCCAGGGGCAGCAUUCCUUGGCCAAGAGGUUUGUGCUGGAUGGGAGCUGAGACCCUGAGUCUGAGGCUGCCCAGGAUCAGUGUGCUCAGAAUACCAACGGGCAUCAAUCAGGCAGUCUGGGAGAGCAUACAGAAACGUAUCAAUUUGUUCCCGAGUAUUUUCAGGCACAAACAACUGCAAGAAUUUACCACGGCUAUAUAAAAAUAUAGUCUGGGACCCAGGCAGGUCUGUAAAAGUUGUGUGAAGCUGGAGGACGCAUUUCCUUGUGGG
rnacentral:lncRNA from 1 species